rnacentral:piRNA from 1 species
AAAGACUCUGUGUGACGAGUGCCUGAUUGUC